GUUGCUUCAUGUAUUCCUUGUGGAUGAUGACAUCCGGAGAGUUCAAAUUGAAAUACUUCCAGAGACGGUUGAUGAACUGAAGACUGUGCUUAAGAGCAAACUCAUCCUGGAGGGUGAGAUGAUCAUCCAAUUUCAGGAUCCAGAAGCUACCUACAGAAAGGGUGAAAUUGAAGAUUAUAAUGAAGGCACCACCCAGCUCACCCCAAUCGGACUACACUUUGGACACAGGUAGUGUGGACACCUCCAGCUGCUCAUCAGGACAGACUUCAUCACCCAGCGGUCGUUCAAAGCACUGGCCUGAAUCAUUUGUCAUACCAAGCUUUUCUUAUGACAUAGAGUUGAAGCUCAGAAAAUGAAAUUAUGCCUUUGAAAACAAUGGUUCACUGUUGACCAUUACCAAUGAUGUCAAGACUGACAUUCUGGACAAGCUUGGACGUGCAAUGUAUGACUUUAAUGCAUAUCCAACCCAGAAACAAGUUGAAGAAGUUACAAAAGCCCUUAUAAAAAAGCAUCCUUGCUUAAGAGAGCCAGGGUCCACAGAGGGAUGGUACUGUUGGAAGUUUAGCCUCGGUUUUAAGAUGGGAAAUCUUCGUCAAAAGUAUCGCCUAGCUGUAAGUCCUGAGCUAAGAAUCAACAGCAAAAGGUCAUCGGGUGCAGGGAGUGGAGCCAAGAAACUGAAAAAAGCUAAACGGUCAGAGAUCAAUUUCCUUCCAGAUAUUCCUCAAGGGAGAACUCUCGACAGCCUGGAAGAGGAGAGAAAAACUUUGGAAGAUGAGAUAAAGAAGAAGAAGCCAGACCUGAAAAGGAUUGAUUCACUGAUGAGACGCACAUUUGCGCUGCGGAGACAGGAAAUAGUUGAAAACGAGCCACUGUUGUCUGACGUGAGUUGUACAGAGCUCAAGGUGGUCGCGUCACACAACUUCAACGUCUGUUGGAGUCUUUGGGUGUUCAAAACUCCAAACAGAACAAAAGAGCUGCAGCGCUGCUUGGGCUGCCACACUUCAUGAAAGAAGACCCCUCCAACUUCAUCAAGUUCUGCCAGGCUUCUGAUUCCAAGGAGGGAGUUGUGACAGGAGUGGAUGUUGGAGUUCUGAUUGUCAGAGAAGACGGAGAAGAGGCUGUGUUACCAAAUAAUGUUCUGGAUGUUUCUGUUAUUCUGGAGGGGCACAUUGUUUUGAAUGAACUAAGUGAUGUACCUUCUGCUUUCAGUGUUUUGGUGGGUCUACUUUACAGCCUAAAUAUUGAUUAUCCAAAGGGAUUGAAAUAUACCUUUGAGGUCCUCCAGAAGGUUCUGAUGGACGUUGGUGGGGGGACCUGCUCUGCACAUGCUCUUGGACUACGAAACAAAUUGCUUCAGGGCACAUUAUAGAGGCAAGUUGAGAAACACAACAAGGCAGCCAGCCUACUGUUAUAGUUGAAACCAAUGAGCCAUCUACACAGAAACACUGUGUCACAGGGACAUAGUAACGUUGUUGUUCAGAUAUCGCCCACCUUUUUGUGGUUUAAAGACCAUAGGCAUUAGUAAUUAAGUUGUAUGAUACCUUUCAGGCCUAUGAUUCCAAGGUGGUAGUAGUGACACUGUUAUAGUGUCACAACUCUGUUAUAGUUGAUAUGUUUUGUUUAUUAAUGGCCUUGAUCGUUUUGGGAAAUUGUUGAUUUUAUAUAUUUUUUUC